AUAUUAUCCGCUUUAACUCAUUACGUAUCGACGGUUUUCACACCCUUAUAAAGAGUGUUUCGUUCUCCUCCCCGACUGAUGCGAGAUCUCACACUCACAAUUACAGCUUAUCAGGUUUUGGAGGAAAAAUCAAACCAAUCUUACUUUUUGUCAACCUUUGACGUGUCGUGUCUGUCGACUCGAUAGUAUUAUGGAAUGCAUAGUGUGAGAUAGACUAGAACUUGAGAACUAUAGGCGACUUAGCAGGCUCCACCGCUGUUUCUUUCAAUUAUCACGCCUUUGUUUCAUCUCUCUCGGUUACUGUUAUUACACUGUAGUUCCAGGUUCCAUAUGUGUAGCUGUCUGCCCUUGAUUGAAUUGUGUUGUUUCAUCACGUCACUAAUUUAGUAGGCAUUCUUUCUAGGAAAUUCCGAAGGAAAUGAACACAUCACACUAGAUGUUACAUUGGUUGGCUCUGUCCCACAUCACUAAACCCAGAGAGAUUAGUUCCUUCAACGUCCACGACACGAAUGGGAUGUACUCGGGCGUUGAGGCUCGUAAAAGGAAGUGAACAAACAAAAAUACUGUAUCCCCUGAGAAAUUUGUUAGCUACGAUUAUAUUCUUUAGUUCAUUCGAAUUCGAGCAUCUUGGUUGAGAGUAUAUGUCUUAAUCUAUUGAGUUAUGUUCAAGUUGACAUGUUCAAAGUUUGUCUUGAAUCAACCGUUCUCGGAUGAUUUGCUUAUAUACUUUUGAUGACUGUCUUGAUUCUGAAUCGUUUACUACGACGAACGAAUGACGUUCGGGGUAAAUGCUUUAUUGAUGUGAAUUAUGAUUAUAUUCUUUAGUUCAUUCGAACUCGAGCAUCUUGGUUGAGAGUAUAUGUCUUAAUCCAUUGAGUUAUAUUCAAGUUGACAUGUUCAAAGUUUGUCUUGAAUCAACCGUUCUCUGACGAUUUGCUUAUAUACUUUUGAUGACUGUCUUGAUUC